UACGGAGGGUGCAAGCGUCAUCCGGAAUCACUGGGUUUAAAGGGUGCGUAGGCGGCCCAAUAAGUCAGUCGUGAAAUCGCUGGACUCAACCCAUGCAAUUGCGAUUGAUACUGUUAGGCUUGAAUGGGGUUGAGGCUAGCGGAAUGCGACAUGUAGCGGUGAAAUGCUUAGAUAUGUCGCAGAACACCGAUUGCGAAGGCAGCUAGCUGGGCCUAUAUUGACGCUGAGGCACGAAAGCGUGGGGAGCAAACAGG
rnacentral:rRNA from 1 species